rnacentral:rRNA from 1 species
UACGAAGGCCUCAAGCGUUAUCCGGAAUCAUUGGGCGUAAAGCGUCCGCAGGCUGUUUAGCAAGCGUGUCGUUAAAUUUCGGGGCUCAACCCUGAAACAGCGAUGCGAACUACUAAGCUAGAGUGUGGGAGAGGCAUCUGGAAUUGUCGGUGUAGUAGUAAAAUGCGUUAAUAUCGACAGGAACACCAAAAGCGAAAGCAUGAUGCUGGAACACUACUGACGCUCAUGCGCGAAAGCGUGGGGAGCAAACAGG